GUUCACCUCAAGAAGUGCUCCUGGGAAUUCUGGAGGAUUUGAGACAUGAAGACUUUGAAAACUUCAAGUGGUAUUUGUGGCAAGAUGGAGUCUUUGAAGAAUUCAAACCAAUCCCAACGAGUAAACUGGAGACAUUGGACAGGAAAGGCACAGUGGAUCAGAUGCGCCAGGCCUACAGCAAUCAAAUUCUUGACGUCACAAAAAUGGUUUUAGAGAAAAUGAAUAUGAUGGGUGUAUGGGACAAACACUCCAAACACAUCCCAGAACCUGGAGGGAAAGAUGGUCCUCAAAAGGUUCGUUUGUCAGCAACAUCGAAGAGGUGUCAAGAGAAACUCAAGUCCAACCUGAAGAGGAGAUUCCAGUGUGUGUUUGAGGGAGUCGCU